UUCAUGAAUAAGAUUCCUCGUUAUGGAAGAUUUGAGUUCAGACUUCAUCCAGCUUGCUGUAGCAAAUAAAAUACGGUUUGGAACCAGUGGAGAAUUUGAGUAUGUCUCUUUUCAAGAAGGAUGAGGAUAGUUUUUGGAAGAACACCAAACUGUUAAU